GCGACCCCAGGUCAGGCGGGACUUNAAAAAACC
rnacentral:rRNA from 1 species